GAACUUUAUGGCUGUAAGUUGCUUUGGAUAAAAGUGUCUGCUAAAUGGCAUAUA
rfam:Salmo salar isolate Sally breed double haploid chromosome ssa16, whole genome shotgun sequence.